CACGUAGGGGGCGAGCGUUGUCCGGAUUUAUUGGGCGUAAAGGGUGCGUAGGCGGUUUGGUAAGUCUUAUGUGAAAUCUACAGGCUCAACUUGUAGUCUGCAUGAGAAACUGCCGGGCUUGAGUGUGGGAGAGGUGAGUGGAAUUCCUGGUGUAGCGGUGAAAUGCGUAGAUAUGCGGAGGAACACCGAUGGCGAAGGCAAUCCCCUGGACCUGUACUGACGCUCAUGCACGAAAGCGUGGGGAGCAAACAGG
rnacentral:rRNA from 1 species